UUGGCUAAGUUAGUAGAGUAUGGCGCUUGCAACGCCAGGGUUGUGGGUUCCAUUCCCAGCA
rnacentral:tRNA from 1 species